rnacentral:hammerhead_ribozyme from 1 species
GCACUGCUGAGGAGUCCCAUACUAGGACGGAGCGGCCGUCCAGUGC